CUUUGUGGCGACCGGCGCACGGGUGCGUAACGCGUAUGCAACCUACCUUUAACAGGGGGAUAACACUGAGAAAUUGGUACUAAUUCCCCAUAACAUUCGAGAAGGCAUCUUCUUGGGUUAAAAACUCCGGUGGUUAAAGAUGGGCAUGCGUUGUAUUAGCUAGUUGGUGAGGUAACGGCUCACCAAGGCAACGAUACAUAGGGGGACUGAGAGGUUAACCCCCCACAUUGGUACUGAGACACGGACCAA
rnacentral:rRNA from 1 species